rnacentral:lncRNA from 1 species
GGGAUAAUGAGACCACACCCUUUCCUGUCUCUCCAGCCUCCAAGAGGUGAACGGUCCUCCUUCGCCAUGUGCUCCCACCAUGAUGGACUCUGCCACCAUUGGCCCAAAGCCACAGGACCAGGUGACCAUGGACUAAACUCUGAAACUGUGAUCCAAGAAACCUUUCCUCUUUAAAAGCUAAUCAUCUUGGGCAUUUUGUCACAGUAACACAAGGCUGACUAAUGCUUCCUAGGGAACUUUUAAAACUGUGAUGCCCAGGGCAAGCUGUUGGGGGCAGCCUGGGCAGCUGUCAUUUUAAAUGCUCCCCCAGGGGCUCUACUGUGCACCCAGGGGUGGGGCCCACUGGUCCAGGGGCAGAUGAAGGCAUGGGCUCAGUGGUGGCAGGAGAGGCACGGAGAGACAGCUGGGACCCAGGGCUGCGCGAGGAGGAGGAUUCGAGUGUGCUGUGUGGAUUCUGCUGGGACAACUGGGUUGCAAUGAAGGGACAUGGGAGGAGUCAGGGGAAGGCACUGAGGAGCCUGUGGCCUCCAGAGCAGGGCCCGGUGUGGCUGGGGUCUGAAGUGGGGCUAGCCGCGCCCUCUCUGUGGUUCUAUGGUGACCGUGACCCGAGCCCACUGCAACCCUGGGCGCACACACAGAGACCCACGCACCUGUGACCUCUCCAGACACCGUUUAUUGUCUUGGUGUCCCCUCAGCUUUCUUUCUGGUACCCAGUGGGUGUCUUCAGGACCGUCUCCGGUGAGGUCAGCCCAGGGAGGGGCCCUUGGUCCCGAGGAGGGGAGGGCAGAGGCCCAGAGCUUCCUGCCUCAGCCGUCCCUGGCUGGGCUGGCCUCUGUCACCAUUAAGUGAUGAUCGUGGCAUGGUCCUGCCGUAGGAAGCACUGUGUCACCUGGGAACACAGGACGGCCCCUCAUCUCUGCCUGGGAGAAGCGCGUGGAGACGCGGUGGGGCAUGAGGAGUCCUGGUUCCUGGGCGGUUUCUGGGCUGACGUCACCCAGACACAGCGCUUGGGAAGGAGCCAGAGCUCCCGCGAAUGGCGCUCUUCCAGGAUGGGGUUCCCUUGACACGGCCUCUCCAGGGUCCUUUCUAGAUCCCGCUCUCUCUGGGCGGGUGGUGCUCGUGGCUGCUCCUCGAGGCCCUUCCCCUGUGAUGUCACUGUGAGCUGAGUGCCAGGGGGCGCUGAGAGUCCCCGAGGUGUCCCUGUGCACCGUGGCCCUGCUGGGUGCUCCUGUGAGCAGUGCCUGCCUCAGACAGCGUGAGUGACAGGUCUGGUAGGGACUGAGAUUGCAGACGACCAGGUGCUCUGCCGGGGACAGUCCCGCGUGGUCACCGCCUUUCCCUCUGAGCUCACCACGGCUGGUGCUGGUUGCGGAUGGCGCUCACCCUUUAGGGUGGUUUCCUUAUGGAAGGUUCUAACCUCAGAUGGCCUUAGCAUAGCUGCCACUGUCACUAGACUAGUGGUGAGCGGGGAGGCGGUCCCCAGGCCUUGGUGCUCACUGUGGAAGGAUUGGCUCUUCAGCGGGCGGGGAGGGCGUCUGCUGCCCACCUGGGUGUGGAGCCUCUGCUCAAUGGCACCGGGUCGGGGUGCCCCUGGCUGAGGCUCACUGUACUGGAUCUGAUUCCCACGGGUGCUCUUGACCCCGCCGUCCCUGCACCCGUGGACCCGGCCACAGCUCUUCUUACCAACAAUAGUCCUCGGGGUAGCUGCCGUCCCUGAUGCCCAACUCUCAGUAAAGAUGGAGUUCAGCCGCCCUGCCCUGCGUCACAGGACCUGCCUGCUGAUGGCUGCUGCUACCUAGGGGACGACUGGUCAGGUGUCACCUCCCUGGGUGAAGUCUGGGAGUGCUGGGCCCCGUGGGUGGAGAUCUGAGGGGACCUGGGGCUGGGGACCGGCCUCACAGGGGCACGUUCACCCGGGCAGGCUGCUCCGCUGGGGCCACCUGGCUGUUGCUUUCCGACUUGUCCCCCGUCUUGUCCUCCUGCAGGUGGGUGCUGCUGCUGGGGGUGUUCUGCCCGCUGCCGCUCCCGGGCAGGUUCUGGCUGCUGCUGGUCUGGCUGGAGGGCUGGCUGCCCCGGGGGUCCAGCAGCCCGCUGCUCACCUGGUAGGUCAGGAAGCUGCUGCCCGGGCUCAGGAAGCCGACGCUGCCCAGGCUGCUGAGGCUGGUGCCCCCAGGCUGCCCUCACUUUUCCCCUCCAGCCUGCCUGGUGCCGUGGCCGUGGCCGCUCAGCCGGCUGUUCACUGGGCUGGGCGCGUGUGUGGUGCCCGCCUGGGAGUGGGGCCUUUUGCUCAACAGGGCCACCCGGUUGCCAGCUGCCAAUCUCACGUCGCUGUCCUCGGUGUCCCCGGUGUACCCGCUGCUCAGCAGGCUGACGUUACUGCACUCGUCCUGCUGGGGCCGGG